rnacentral:rRNA from 1 species
UUGGAGGGCAAGUCUGGUGCCAGCAGCCGCGGUAAUUCCAGCCCCAAUAGCGUAUAUUAAAGUUGUUGCAGUUAAAAAGCUCGUAGUUGAACCUUGGGUCUGGCUGGCCGGUCCGCCUCACCGCGAGUACUGGUCCGGCUGGACCUUUCCUUCUGGGGAACCUCAUGGCCUUCACUGGCUGUGGGGGGAACCAGGACUUUUACUGUGAAAAAAUUAGAGUGUUCAAAGCAGGCCUUUGCUCGAAUACAUUAGCAUGGAAUAAUAGAAUAGGACGUGUGG